rnacentral:rRNA from 1 species
UGGUGAGACCAUACCAGGACUAACGCACCGGAUCCCAACAGAACUCCGAAGUUAAGCGUGCUUGGGCGAGAGUAGAACUAGGAUGGGUGAACCCCUGGGAUGUCCUCGUGUUGCACCCC